ACACGGGGGGGGCAAGCGUUGUCCGGAAUUAUUGGGCGUAAAGGGCACGUAGGCGGGAUGAUCAGUCUGAGGUGAAAGCUUGCGGCUUAACCGUAAGUCUGCCUUGGAUACUGUCAUUCUUGAGUUCGGAAGAGGGAAGUGGAAUUCCUGGUGUAGCGGUGAAAUGCGUAGAUAUCAGGAAGAACACCGGUGACGAAGGCGGCUUCCUGGUCCGAUACUGACGCUGAUGUGCGAAAGCGUGGGGAGCGAACAGGAUUAGAAACCCCAGUAGUCC
rnacentral:rRNA from 1 species